rfam:Salmo salar isolate Sally breed double haploid chromosome ssa23, whole genome shotgun sequence.
UGCACGCAGGACUGUAAGUCACUUUGGAUAAAAAGUGUCUGCUAAAUGGCAUAUG